GAUGAACGCUGGCGGCGUGCCUAAUACAUGCAAGUCGAGCGAACAGACGAGGAGCUUGCUCCCCUGACGUUAGCGGCGGACGGGUGAGUAACACGUGGAUAACCUACCUCUAAGACUGGGAUAACUUCGGGAAACCGGAGCCACUACCGCAUAAUAUAUCGUACCGCAUGGUUCAAUGGAGCAAGACGGCUUUCCCGACUCUAUUAGCUGGUUUCGGGCCGUAUUAGCUAGUUGGUAAGGUAACGGCUAACCAAGGAAACGAUGCGUAGCUGACCUGAGAGGGUGAUCAGCCACACUGGAACUGAGACACGGUCCAGACUCCUACGGGAGGCAGCAGUGGGGAAUCUUCGGCAAUGGGCGAAAGCCUGACGGGGCAACGCCGCGUGGGUGAUGAAGGUCUUCGGGUCGUAAAGCUCUGUUAUUGGGAAAGAACAAAUGUGUGAGUAACCAUGCACGUCUUGACGGUACCUAAUCAAAAAGCCACGGCUAACUACGUG
rnacentral:rRNA from 1 species